ACAGCAUCUUAAACAGGUCGUGGUCUCUGAGCAGUAGACCAGGAUUUGGUAGCUGGUGCUAAAAUCAAAUCUCUCUUGCAGCAAUCCCUCUAGCAACUUUUGUGCUUUUGGGGACCACAACAGGAGAGAUACAAAC
rnacentral:snoRNA from 1 species